rnacentral:rRNA from 1 species
UACGUAGGGGCCGAGCGUUGUCCGGAGUUAUUGGGCGUAAAGCGCGUGUAGGCGGCUUUGCAAGUCGGGUGUGAAAGCCCUCAGCUCAACUGAGGAAGUGCGCCCGAAACUGCAGAGCUUGAGUACCGGAGAGGAUGGCGGAAUUCCCCAAGUAGAGGUGAAAUUCGUAGAUAUGGGGAGGAACACCGGUGGCGAAGGCGGCCAUCUGGACGGAUACUGACGCUGAGACGCGAAAGCGUGGGGAGCAAACAGG